GAUGAACGCUAGCGGCAGGCCUAACACAUGCAAGUCGAGGGGUAGAAGGAGCUUGCUCCUUUGAGACCGGCGCACGGGUGCGUAACGCGUAUGCAAUCUACCUUGUACAGGGGAAUAGCCCAGAGAAAUUUGGAUUAAUGCCCCAUAGUAUAUAACCUUCGCAUGUUGGUUAUAUUAAAGUUCCAACGGUACAAGAUGAGCAUGCGUCCCAUUAGUUAGUUGGUAAGGUAACGGCUUACCAAGACGAUGAUGGGUAGGGGUCCUGAGAGGGAGAUCCCCCAGACUGGUACUGAGACACGGACCAGACUGCUACGGGAGGCAGCAGUGAGGGAUAUUGGUCAAUGGUCGCAAGACUGAACCAGCCAUGCCGCGUGCAGGAAGACGGUCCUAGGGAUUGUAAACUGCUUUUAGACAGGAAGAAACCCUCCCACGUGUGGGAGCUUGACGGUACUGUAGGAAUAAGGAUCGGCUAACUCCGUG
rnacentral:rRNA from 1 species